GAUGAACGCUGGCGGCGUGCCUAAUACAUGCCAGUCGAGCGAACAGACGAGGAGCUUGCUCCUCUGACGUUAGCGGCGGACGGGUGAGUAACACGUGGAUAACCUACCUAUAAGACGGGGAUAACUUCGGGAAACCGGAGCUAAUACCGCAUAAUAUAUUGAACCGCAUGGUUCAAUAGUGAAAGACGGUUUUGCUGUCACUUAUAGAUGGAUCCGCGCUGCAUUAGCUAGUUGGUAAGGUAACGGCUUACCAAGGCAACGAUGCGUAGCCGACCUGAGAGGGUGAUCGGCCACACUGGAACUGAGACACGGUCCAGACUCCUACGGGAGGCAGCAGCAGGGAAUCUUCCGCAAUGGGCGAAAGCCUGACGGAGCAACGCCGCGUGAGUGAUGAAGGUCUUCGGAUCGUAAAACUCUGUUAUUAGGGAAGAACAAAUGUGUAAGUAAAUAUGCACGUCUUGACGGUACCUAAUCAGAAAGCCACGGCUAACUACGUG
rnacentral:rRNA from 1 species